ensembl:lincRNA Gm28747 predicted gene 28747
AGGAAAUGGAGCCAGAAUCCACAGAUGUCAUUAUCCAUCUGCAGACGUUUGUUUACCACCCAGAAGGCAAGAUUGCAUUUUAAAGUCUUGGAUGGUUAUUCUUUUUCAUCACGAGUGACUCCAGAAGCCCUGACCAUUCACAGUGACCCUGGCUGAAAGUGUCUGUCAAAGCCUUGUUUCCUGGAGUGCUUUGAGAUUCUCCUACAAAAGGCAUUUUCCAAGCACAGAGUGGAAAAACAUCAUUUAUAUUCAUUCAGUCGCUGUGGCAUUUCUCCCUGGAAUCUUCCUCUUGUCUGUCAACAUUGGGAGAGGGCCGCUGACCUCAUCUACAUUACAAAUGGCCUCCUUUUAACGGGAGUGACUUACAGGAGAGUCACCAGAAAGAGGGGAGGACUCCCUAAGGCAUCAUUUAGAAUGUAGCUAUUGCUGCCAGUCCAAAUGGCUCUACCCUCUCCCAGGACUGUGUUCAGAGUAGAGACAUUUCUACCAAGAUGGCUCCUUCUUUAAGGAGGUCGGUGCCCUGCUCAGUGUGACUUAAGGGACAUUAGAGGGAC